AUUAGCUUUAAAUUGCUUCAGUGCUACUGGUGAUAUUACAUAAACAAAUUUAGUUAUUUUAGUCUAUCUAUAAGUAAAGAAACAAUAAUUCAAUUCAUCAAAGAUUUUAUUUAUUGGAGUUUUGCACUAUAGAAUUUUAAUUAUCUGUAAGUGGUUGCAGUAUAGGCUGAAUCUUGAUGUACUGCUUUACUGCAAUUUAAAUUUUUUAUUUUCCCCUUAUACACUCACCAACGUUUGUUAGCAGGCACUCUAGUGGUACAGUAACUUGAACCAGAAAUGCAUCUUAUACAUAUAAGACAAUUAUUCUACAGAUGAGUGGUUGCAAGUUUACUUCUCUCUUUCAUUCACCUUCCUACAGACAUAUCAGGAAAAGAAAGUGACAGAAGUAAAGACCAAGACAGUAAAAGAGCAGAUGUAGGAAUACAGGAGAAAGCAUCAAGACGUAGAGAAGAUUUUGUACUGUCUAGUAAAUCCUGUCCUGUCUCAACUCCACUACCAAAUGUUCCCACUGGUUCUGUACUACAGUACCCUGAUAGUAACACAGCUGAGCCAAUGGAAAUCAACUUUUUAGUUUAUAAUGCAGACUCAGAGCUUCUACAGCCACAGGACAGUGAUAUUAUGGAGACCACAGAAUCGUAUGAGGAUUUCAUAGGGAAUGAACCUGCAUGGAGUAAGGAGGGUCGGGACAUAGAGUCAGAUAUACAAGAGAUGAGAGACAUGAUACCAAGAACAAGGAGUCUGGGUCCUAAUGAGAGCGAUGAUAUCAUCAUUGAGGAAUAUAUACCUGACUAUCCUGAAUCCCAACCAUUAACCCAUCCCUGUGAUUACCCUGCCAAAACUUUUCAAGAACACACCACUAAUUUUUCUUUUUUUCAGGCAGAUUUAACUAAGAGUGACAUGGAGAUUUUAUCACUGUGGAAUGAAGAACUUGUGAGAAAUGUUGGUGAACAGCAAAAAGACCAAAGCAGAAAACCCGCAGAUGCACAAUUACAGGAGGAAACAACCAGGACACAAAAUGAGAGUAGUCAGGGAAGCGAUGACACGCCUUUACCAAGAAGCUCCACUCCCAGUUCCUUCGUCCUACAAGUUAUAACUUUCGACUGUCCUCCUAGCGCAUCCAGCUCGGAGAAAUUCACUAACUCUGAUCCAAACCAGAAAGAUCCCACCGAGGCACAGCAAGAAACACAGCCCACUGACCCAUUGAAUGGUGAGCCUAAACACUGUCAAAAAUCAGAAGAUAUAAUAAAAGCCACUGAACAAAAACAUGCUGUGAUACACAACUAGAUUUGCUGCUUCUUAAAGGCUUCUGACAUUUUAGUCAUGAGAGGAAAAACAGAACAGCACUACAAGUUCCUAAUUCAGCUUUCUGUGAGGCUAUCAUCUCCUCUAUGUACUCGUUCUCGGACCAUGCCAUUUUUAUGGACAAUCAUUGGACAAAAUAAUGAUAGUAAAAACCAUAAAAUCCUGAGCUGGUAACUCGAGGCACUUAAUAACUCUCAAGGUUUUAGAUGCAUUUGUAACUGGUUUAUUUCCUCUUCUAUUUUGCCUUCUUAAACCUAGCCAGAGUACUUUCUCAGCCAAAACUUGGACUUCAUUUUAUUUGCAUCACUGAAACCAGUCGUUGCCAAAUGAGCAUGAGAUACAUGUUAAUAUAUAAGGCACUUAUCAUUUGCACUGGUUUGCUGUAAAACUGCUGGUAACCUUGAUCUACGUCCAACGGAAAUGGAAAGCCAAACUGAAGCUGGCACAGACAAUUGUUUAUGCAUCCACAUUGCAUAAUGACAUUUAAGUCCCACUUGUCAGAUUUCUUAAAAUCUUUGGAAACAAAUUAGAAUGUAGACUGUACAGAGAAAUGUUAGUGUUGUACUAAGCAGCCCAUGUGAACCAUCAAUGUAUCCUGAUGCUGUGGCUGCAAUUUGGAGAAAACUUGGUGUUUAAUGAAACCAGCCUUUGAAAUAUCGAUUGAAAACCUGUUAAAUAAUUGUCAACGCUAAGAUCAAAAUGUUCUAAUACCAUGUCCUGUGGUGUUCAGUAAGACCUUGGCAGUGGAGUCACACCUGCCAUGGAGUUAGGUGUAUAUUGUUCGAGAUCGGGGCAAAGAAAAUAGAUACAAGAAUGUUCAAGUGACACUGUGGCUUCACUUAAGCAAAACCAUGUAUAAAUAGUCUGCAGAUGGUAUUGUGGCCCCUUAGACUGAGCAGGAAGGGAAAAUUUGGGGCCUUGUGGGUGAUUCUGUUCACAUGAAAACUCAGUGACAUGGAGUCAGGAUAAUCCAUGCUGUAUUUGGUUUAUUUACAUAAAUAGUCACACAAUCCUGUUUCCCCGAGCAGCAGUAGAAAUGUACAGCAAUCAGGCAGUUAGUUUCCAGCCAGCACAGUGCCCAAGGAGUGGCUCCCUCCCUGCCUCAGCUUCCUUCCAGGGUCACACAUGACUACUUCUCCUGGCUUACUCCCUCUAACUCACACAGCCUGCAAUCAACUGCUCACCCCUGCAUCUGGAAUCUAAAGGGAAACCCUGUAGCUCCCACUGCCCUCUGGGUUGCAUGUUCUGACCAGGUGGCUUAGGCCGUUAAACUUACAAUACUCCUUUAACAGGCCUUUGGGUGGUGACCUCCAUGACCAACAACCCUUCAUAAGCAGCCAAUAGCCCCUUUCACAACAUUAUUCAGUGGGUGUGAAAUUCACUCCUGUUUAGAUGACCAAAAUAAGACCUAUGUGCUAUUUAUUUUGGGAUCCUAAGUGGGACUAAAGUGGAGCAUAGGCCUCAUACUGGUCCUCAGCAUGGGUGAAUUUCACCCAGGUUGAAUAAGGACUAAUGCAAUAAUCACAAUUAUGUCGAUUCUCACUUAUGUCUAUAUUUGUUGACUCUGCCUCUUUUUUGGCCUGCACACACCUGAGCAAUUGUGAUUGAACUGGGUAUAUUUCAAACUCUCGAUAUUGGGGUUAAAGGACUACCAAAAGGUGGAACUCAUGUCAUUCAACACAUAAGCCAUAUAUUCACUAUGCAUAUUUAGUGUGCAUAGUUUUAAUUUAAGAAAUAUUUGUGCAUAGAGGGUGUAAAAAGUGCAUUUAAAAUGUUUUUGAAUCUUGUCCAAAGCUUGUAUUUAGCAUGGACUUUCUGUACAGUGCAAAUAACAAAUGAAAUGUUAACAUGAAAUUGUAUUAUAUACAUUAUAACAUAACUGUUUUUUGCGGGGUGGGGGUGGUUUUUUGUUUUUUUUUUUGCUGAGUUAAGGAUUUAUAUAUACUCUGCUAGAGUUUGGGCAGAUCAUUAGUUACCUGAAUCACUCAAUUGUACCUCCUCAUUCUUUCAUUGAAUGGUUUUCACCUCCUCUUAUAAUAUACUAUAAAUAAUCUGAUGGUUCCGUAGAGCCAUUCUGACAACGGAAAAGACAGUAUGGUCAUAUCAGAAGUAAUUUUGUAGAUUCUGAGCCGACUAGGUACUGUGGCAAAGCUUCCUUUGAAUUCAAUGAAGAUUUGCCUCAGUAAGAGUGGAGUCAGAAUUUUGGGAUUUUGCCAUGUGGAAAAACGGGGGGCUAGAUUUUUCAGAUGUGCUGAGCAUCCGCAGCUCACACUGAAGUUGGUAGGCGCUGCUGAUGCUUGGCAUCUUUGCAAAUGAAGUCAAUGAAAUCUUAGUGUUACGAGAGAGUACCCGUAUUUUCCAAACGUGCCGUUCAUGAUUCACGGAGACUAAAAGCUUUACACAAAUGCAUGAAAAGUUUGACCCACACAUUUCAACUUUUGACUUUUUUCAGAAUUCAUUUGACCUCUCUGCUCUGUCUAUUUGCAGUAGUGAUUUACACACAGCAGACAUUUGUUACUGAAAAUGUAUUUACCAGCAGAAUUCACCCCAGAAUCUGCAAGGCACUGUGUGCCUUGUGUGAGGCGUUCAGCACGCUCCACUCAUAUUGAGCACCCUCAACUCCUUGGCUGGGAGGUAAGCGAGCUAUACACCUCAGAGGAGGUAUUCGGCACCUUCCAUGACUGGAUCAUUAAUCUGCAAAUGUGUCUUCUGUAUAAAUAACCUGAGUUGCCAGUUUGUAUUAAAUUUUUAAGCACUGUGAUGGACUGCACUGAAAUAGUGAAGAAGGAUGCACCAUUUUCUCAAGUAUGUCUUCUAAUUAACAUCAGUUAAGUUUCUUUCUUUCUUUGCAGUAAGAUUGUGCCAGUGUUUGACCCACAUCCUGGGUUAUCUAUAGAGGUGAAAUUUACCUCACUGGAGAGAACCAACUUGAGACCUAUGCGCCAACUGAUUUGACUCUUCAAAAUAUGGCAUAAGGGGGACUUAAAUGGUGUAUAGACCUUGUGCUGAGGCCUCUGUAGGAGGAUGAAUUUCCCCCUUAAACAUUUGAGGAUGCACUAACACAAUAUUGCCUGGGACCAUAAGGAAUGGGGUUUGUGUCUGCAUCUCCCCUAGAGCAUUAGGGCAGUGUUUCUCAACUGGUGUGCUGUCAGGCCUGAACAGGUGUGCCACAGAAUUUUUUGAAAAACUCCAUGUAAGAACAAAAAACCUUCCCAUGUAUUUUAAUUAGCGUCAGAGCUGGAUCGCAUUCUGUAAUUUUGCUGUCUGGGACAAGGCUCCUUUCAAAUAUUAUGCAUGUGUCACAUUCCAUUCCCCAAAGCGAGGUUAAGAUAG
rnacentral:lncRNA from 1 species